rnacentral:rRNA from 1 species
CACGUAGGGGGCAAGCGUUGUCCGGAUUUAUUGGGCGUAAAGAGCUCGUAGGCGGUUUCGUAAGUCGGAUGUGAAAACUCCAGGCUCAACUUGGAGACGCCAUUCGAUACUGCGAUGACUUGAGUCCGGUAGGGGAGUGUGGAAUUCCCGGUGUAGCGGUGAAAUGCGCAGAUAUCGGGAGGAACACCGGUGGCGAAGGCGGUUCUCUGGGCCUUACCUGACGCUGAGGAGCGAAAGCGUGGGGAGCGAACAGG